rnacentral:rRNA from 1 species
GCGUAAAUAAAAGAUUAAUUUUUAUUUUCGAAGGCUCCUCUCUGGUCAGCAACUGACGCUGAGGCUCGAAAGCGUGGGAACCAAACAGGAUUAGAUACCCUGGUAGUCCACGCCGUAAACGAUGAGUGCUAAGCGUUGAAGGGUUUCCGUCCCUAAAGCUGCAGUUAACGCAUUAAGCACUCCGCCUGGGGAGUACGACCGCAAGGUUGAAACUCAAAGGCAUUGACGGGGACCCGCACAAGCGGAGGAGCAUGUGGUUUAAUUUUAAAUCACGCGAAGAACUUUCUCAGGUCUUGACAUUCUUUGAUCAUGCUGGACAUAGAGCUUUUUCUUCGGGAAAAGCGACAGGCGGAGCACGCUGUCGCCACUCGCGGCGUGAGAUUUCGGCUCAGUCCCGCACGAGCGCAUCCUUAAUCUCAGGUGCC